rnacentral:rRNA from 1 species
UACGUAGGGUGCAAGCGUUGUCCGGAAUUAUUGGGCGUAAAGAGCUCGUAGGCGGUUUGUCGCGUCUGCUGUGAAACUCAGGCUUAACUCUGAGCUUGCAGUGGGUACGGGCAGACUUGAGUGCGGUAGGGGAGACUGGAAUUCCUGGUGUAGCGGUGAAAUGCGCAGAUAUCAGGAGGAACACCGAGUGGCGAAGGCAGGUCUCUGGGCCACUACUGACGCUGAGAAGCGAAAGCAUGGGAGCGAACAGG